ensembl:lncRNA
CCUUGAACCUGGGUUGCUUCUGAAGAAGACUACUAUGUAGCCAGAAAGCCUCUCCUUUACCAGUUAGCACCAGUAGGUGAGACUUCUGGUCAAAAGAAACUGCUGCACUCUGAAAAAUGAGCUGCUGUCUUCCAUGUUUGGGGAAACUCAUUCAAGCAUGCUGAUAAGGUCUCUACUUGAUCCAUUGGUUAACAUGGCAGGAUCUACUUUUGAACCCUGGAAUACCAGAGUUUGGACCUGAAUCCCUGGAGUUCACCAAUGAUACAAGGUGUAGGAAUCAGAGCAUCUGACCUGCUCUGAGUGAAAGCUCACAUCCUUACAUUACAAACCACUUAAUUGUUUUUGUUUUUAACUGUAUCCUUAUUAAAUGACUGGCUAAUGUGCACUCAGCACUUCCAAACAGGCUAGAUAGUAUCCUGGCCUCUGCAGUAUAUUCAGCACUAUUUUGCCUUUGUCUUUUCUGCCUUUGCUUGUUGGAUUUCCUUUGCUCACAGCUUUAUGAUGUAGCUUGACUACAAUGGUACUUCCAUGACCAUCUAUCAGUACCAUUGUAGUCAAGCAAUAAUUAUUUAUUAUUGUAAAUAAGUCUUUUUAAGUUAUUUUAACUUUCUUGGGAUGGAUUGCUGACUUGGAGUCCGUUGAACUGGUAAUGGGCAGUGUGAACAUGCAAAGAAGUACUCAAUGUAGAAAUUUCAUGUGAAGUUGUCAUGAGUUCAGUUGCACCUGAUUAUUUCUAAGUAUAAUCCCUUACCUCAAACCAGUGGGUAGAUCUUAAUUGUACUCUUAUAUCGUUCAUCAUCUUCGUUGCAGCACACAUUGCAAUGUAGAGUUCUUUGAACAAUGGUUGUUCAUGUGAAUCUCUACGAAGUCUGUCCACAGCUGACUUUGGUAGCCAUGCCACAUUUGUUUCAAAUAUCUCAUUAUAUGUCCAGUGCUGGCAGUGUGUGAGUUGCUUGCAGAUUGCUUCCAUGACAGCACCUGAUCUGGUGAUGGCCUGUGUGAAAAUCAGCAGUUAUUGUCCUCUGACUCUGCUUUGUUGCAAACAAAUUGCUUGGAGCUGGUGUGCACUAAUCCUUGUUUUGAACCCCUCUAGUCAUUCUUAGCUAUGGAAAAUGCAGUAGAGAUUUAUGUUCCAUCUGUAACACCUCUUUUGGAGCCAGCAUUUAUCACAACACAGUUGUAAAAAGGUU